UACCAGCUCUUCGAGUGGUGUGGAUGUUUAUUGGGCCUAAAGCAUCCGUAGCUGGCUGGGCAAGUCCCCUGUUAAAUCCACCGAUUUAAUCGUUGGAGUGCGGGGGAUACUGUUCGGCUAGGGGACGGGAGAGGCAGACGGUAUUUUCGGGGUAGGGGUGAAUCCUAUAAUCCCGGGAAGACCACCAGUGGCGAAGGCUGUCUGCUAGAACGCGCCCGACGGUGAGGGAUGAAAGCUGGGGGAGCGAACCGGAUUAGAUACCCGGGUAGUCCCAGCUGUAAACGAUGCAGGCUAGGUGUUUGGGCGGCCACGUGCCGCUCUAGUGCCGCAGGGAAGCCGUUAAGCCUGCCGCCUGGGGAGUACGGCCGCAAGGCUGAAACUUAAAGGAAUUGGCGGGGGAGCACCACAAGGGGUGAAGCUUGCGGUUU
rnacentral:rRNA from 1 species